rnacentral:rRNA from 1 species
AGCUCCAAUAGCGUAUAUUAAAGUUGCUGCAGUUAAAAAGCUCGUAGUUGCAUUUCCGCGGCAAGGGAUUAGUCCGACCUUUGGUGGGUAUUUAAUCCUCUUGCCUCGUCCUUGAGUGGUGCUUCUUGGUCUUAAGUUAUCGAGGAGAUAGCCGCUCAUCGUUUACUGUGAGAAAAUUAGAGUGUUCAAAGCAGGCUUAUGCCGUUGAAUAUAUUAGCAUGGAAUAAUAAGAUAGGACCUCGGUACUAUUUUGUUGGUUUGAGAACCAAGGUAAUGAUGAAUAGGGACAGUUGGGGGUAUUCGUAUUCAGUUGUCAGAGGUGAAAUUCUUAGAUUUACGGAAGACGAACUACUGCGAAAGCAUUUACCAAGGAUGUUUUCA